rnacentral:lncRNA from 1 species
AAUCUCUUCGCAUGCAGGGCAGUCCCCUGUAUAGUUUUGCUAGUCUUCCCAAAUAUCCUACUACCUUUCUCUCUUCUCUAAAUUCCCUUGAUAAGGGCUUUCUGAGCCAUUACUGUUAUGUGCGCACCCUCUUCGGCACUUGGCGCGAGUAUCACGUUUCGGAGCUGGAGUGGCAUAACCCUCGCACUACUUAUAAACCAGCCUCUUCCGACGCCC